rnacentral:lncRNA from 1 species
UUUAAUAGUGCCGCUCGGCAUACACAAUAUCAAAUCUAAAAAAAACUUAUAUUUUCCCCAAAACUCGGAAUCUCAUGAAAUCACAAGCUAAUGAUACUACAUAGUGAUCUAACUCCAGAAUGUCUAAAACAAAGUAAAUACAGAAGGGUUGUAACUACAAGAGAGAAUGGAGAGAGACUCGUCGAUCUGCGGACGCGGUAGAUAUACCUCAAAGUCUCCGAAAGAUUGUCUCGCCUCACGGAUGGUAAGUCUGAGUAGAGGUGCCUGGAUCUGCACAUGAAAACAUGCGUAGAAAAGGGUAUGAGUACACCACAGCGGUACUCAGUAAUUGCCAAGCCUAACCUCGGUCGGGUAGUGACGAGGAAGGUCAGGUCCCUACUGAGAUCAAAUAAAUAUUGAGAUGAUAGAAUAAGAUAAGCAUUACAAUUGAAAAAUGAUAGUAAGAAUUUAAUACAGGAUAAUAAGGAAUACAAUAACUGGAACAGAGAUAAAGGCAUUCACAAGAAAGUACCAUUCUUCACAAGGAUAAUAACCGGGGAUCUCUCAGUAUCCUCAAUAUAUAUGGUAGGGAUCUCUUGGUAUCCUCAAUGCAUGCUAGGGAUCUCUUGGUAUCCCGAGGAUCUCUUGGUAUCCUCAAUAUACAUGCCAGGGAUCUCUGGGUAUCCCGCACCUCAGCUCAAAUCAUAAACGCAUACAGGGGAUCUCCCGGGAUGCCGCCCCGUAGUCCUAAAGUAAAACACACAACAACAACACAAGAAUACUCAAGUAAGCUCAAUUUCGUACCAAGUAAAACAGGUAAUUCUACCCUAACAUGCUUCACAUAGUAAAAUUAAGGCGGGUUAAGCGAAUAAGCAAUUAAGUCAAUUAAAUAUACCUUUUCUAAGCUAACAGCAGGCUUAAAUUUGCAAGUAGUAUAAAACAGAAAAAAGGAACACAAUUCAAAUUACUUUAAGAAAACCGGAUUUUCAACAAUUAGCACAAGUACGCACUCGUCACUAUCACACCUCCUUUUCUACCCCCGAAAGGGGUAUUAAGGGAGUUUUUUUCAAUUUAAGUGACAAUCAAAACGGGAUUAAUUAUUAGAUUCAGAGUCGCCACUUGGAAUAAUUUAUGGUAUCCCAAGUCACCGGUUUAAAAUCCUGAAUCGAGGAAAUUUGACUCUAUUUACGGUCUGCGAAUACAGAAAUCCGGGUAAGAAAUUCUGUUAACCCAAGAGAAGGUGUUAGGCAUUCCCUACUUUCGUGGUUUUAGCACGGUCGCUUUGAUCAUACUUGGCUUAUUAAAUUGUUUAAUUACUCAAUUUUAAAACCUAUGUGCAUUAGCCACUUUUAAUUAAGAAAUUAUCUUUAAACAUGUCAUGCGUACGUGUACCUAUUCGUUUGGUGCAUCAAAAAUUAUGUCACACGAACGUUUCCACAAUUAAUAAUGCUUUGUUAUUAUUAAGAAAGGUUUGGUCGAAGUUGCGUGAACGCAUACUCUAAUUUUAUUUUUAGAAUCGUAAUCAUGUCACGCGAACGUGUCCACAAUCAUGACGAUAAAUUUAAAAAUGCGCAUAAAGAAUACUACAAUGUUCAUAAAUUAUUUAUUCUAAAACUAGUUAAGGUUAUUGAGAGGCCAUGCAUAUAGUUCCAUGAUUCAUUUAGGACGUAAUUCAUGAGAAACACAUUUGGCUUUGGACGAGCAGAAGAGCUGAAACUAUCAAUUACAAAAAAGCGAGCAUGCCCUGUAAUCACACAUCAUUUAUAUGUAGCAUAAAGAUAAACAACUCAAACCUUAAAAUGGAGUUUCAUAAGAAAUGAGCAGAUCCAACAUAACACUUAGUACAUAAGAACAAUUAAAUGUACCUCACGAACAAGACAAAAGGAAUCAAAGAAGAUGCGAUAAAAAAACUGAUGUUAAAAUGCCAACUAAGAAAAAUCAAAAUCUUAUCGUGACAUUGAUUAAGCACAUCAUGGCUUCAAUCCAAAUUUUAAUCUUAAGAGUUCAAAUUCAACUUUGGUUAAACAGACUCAAUAGCACUUAAUUGAAAAAUCAUACACUUGUUAAGCACAAAAGCAAGCAAAUUCAUGUAAGAACUGAACACAAAUACGAACAUAGAAAAUGACACUGGGACCACUGACCGGAAAAUAACGUCGGCGACUUCAACGAAAAACCGAAACUCGACCCUUUUUCCCACGUAAUCUUUUGAAUAAAAAUAGAGCUUGAGCUAUGAUGUUUGGGCUGUUUUGAUGGAGGUUUGUUGUUGAUUCUUCAGUGCUUUAAUGGUGAGCUUACACAACUGGUUUUUGAAAACUAUUUUCAUGGUGUUCCGGCGCGUUGGGUGGUCGUUUUUCGGUGAGGGGUCGCUGGUGGCAUCGCUGCUUCUGGUGAGUGAAGGUUGGUCGAUUUGGCUGCUUAGGUCUUGUACGUGAAGGGUGCUAAAGGUUUUCUCUUUAAGAGAUGAAACGGCUUAUUUUUUCAAGUCUAAAGUGUGCAACGGUGUAUUAUCCUGAAGAUGAUGGGAGUGGGAG